UAGUUAAAAAGCGAACGUCGCACCCAGUUUCGACCUGGGCUCCGGUAACUAUUACCUUUAACUAA